UUACCAUCUGUCCACUGACCAGAAUCCUGCUCCAAUUUAUGGUCCUUCCAGCCGUACUUAUUUCAUUUUGUUUGUACAAAAUAUUUUUUCAUACACAGCAGUGUUAGUUGAAGACACAGUAUCUGAGGGCAAGAACUCAUUUCACAGCUACAGUAAAAACUUGAAGCUAAAAACUGAUUUCUCACAAUAAGAAAACAACAGAAGAAAAGUCAUUAAGCUCUCAACCCAUGAGGCUUCCACAUUUCACAACCCGUUUAUCAAUUGAGCUCCAGUCACUGCUGCUCUUUUCACCUAUGUAUAGGUGUUAUUUUUCCUUUUUUUUUUUGAGUAAAAUAUUUAUAAUAAAAUAAAAGACAGACUUUAAUGGUUAUCUCUCCACUUUCAUGCCCUCUCUUUCUCAGCAUGGCUAUUUACAAGCAUGCACUGCUGUCUCUGACAAUGUGAUUUUUAUCACUUCUUUUUGUCCUUAGUUUCCUUCCCUAUCAUUCUCUCCCUGUGGAUCUCUGACCAACUGAUUUCACUGUCC